rnacentral:lncRNA from 1 species
AUGAGGAUGAUGAAGAUGAUAAUUGGCAAAUGUAUCAUGUCAGAGAAUCACACUUGAAAAUUAAUAAUUAUUAUGAGAACAUUGUCCUUCUGUAUUCUGUCACAGAUAAUGACAAAAGCCCUUUUCCGCAUCGUGUGAUUUCACUUUUAGGAUGACUUUUAUUAAGCUCCGAUUAGCUUAACCAUUCUAGUAACUUUGUAGGAUUCCAACUGAAACAGAUGUCAGAGACGUUCUCUGGAGACGUUCUCCAACAUCAUUUUAGAAGGAAUCCUGCAAAGUUACUAAGGCUACGUUCCAAAACUUCCUCUCCGAGGAAGAUUUUACUCUAUAUACUAUAGUAUACGUUAUGUGUACUAUAUAUUGGAUCAUCUAAAAAGUAUCCGCGGUUUUUUGUCACUAGAUGGUGUUGAUGAUCAACACAUAUAUUUUGAGUAAGUUUUAGCCUAGAAUGAUUAAGAUAACUGGAGCUUGGUAAAAGUCACUUUUAGGGCUUCUUUCAUCGACACCAAUUAACGCUAAUCGAUGAUUAACUCAAUCAUUACGAUUACCAACGUGAGAACUAAACACAGAAGAGAAAGAAAAACACAAGUAGCUACUAAAUGCCCAUUAUCCUUAAAAGACACUAUGAUAUGAAUACUAUAGGCAGCAUCUUGGACAAUAUGAAAAUCAUUAAGAAAAUAGAUUUGUGGAUUUUUAAUAUAUUAUCCAACAGAAGAGAGCCGGAAAACAUGUGCAUCAUGCACCGAUCCAAUAUUUUCAGCAGAACGCUUGUAAAGAGCAAUUUUUGAGUACAAACUACCUAAAAAGAUAAAAUAGAAACUAAUAAAUGUUAUCAGGUUAUGAACUCCGUCAGGAUGAGGUAUGUGUAUCAGUUCAGUUGUAGAUAGCUGUAGCAAGGAAACGUAUGAUAGCUCUCCAUUGCGAAUACAAUAUGGCUGGUUUAAUUAGAUAGGGGUACCACCAAUCAGAAAUCGCGACGCCGAUGUCGCUUCUCUCAUAUAUAGGACUUUAGGACCGACCACUAAGGCCAUAGCACAGACUUUUGCGUAUUAAUGCAUAAAUCAACUAGUGUACAAGUAAAUCAACUAAUCAGAAUCUUUCCUUUCCUCCUAUU